GCGGUUUCCAACGUGGUUUCAGUUUCAAAUUUUAAAGCAAGUUUUUGAUCAAUUUUAAUGCAAACUUAAUGGCAAAUCAUGACGAAUUAUAUACACAGAUAUUUACGCACAAAUAUGCGAAUGCGUAGUUAGUGAAUAAGUCCCAUUGAUUGCAAAUUAAUUCCCGAUCUAUUAUAUACAGUAUCAUUCUGUUUAACUCUAUCCACAUAUUAUUAAUACAAGCCAACUUUCUAAUAUAUUUUUAGUAUGUACUCCUUUCCAGGUUUGUGUGUCAACUGGCAUCAAAUCAACACAAACUGUUAGUGUGCCAAGGAAAUAGGAAAUUCUGGAUGUAACAUCAUCACAGAUUGGUUUCCUAUGAGGGCCAGGGAUGUGGUAGAUGAAAGGAAGUGAGUGGGAUGAAUUGACAAAUGCCUGAUCAAGGCAAACGUAACCGUUGAGAUUUAUUUGAUUGUCAUGUCUGUUAUGUAACAAGCCUGAAUCGUUUCUGUUUGCAGAUUUUGAGGCGCAAAACCAGGCUUCCAUGACUGCUCACCAAACAACAAGAAGAAAGCCAAUCACAACACAUUCAACUGUUUUUCCCACUGCUCAAGCAGGAGUUCAUCUGAGGAAAACCCCAUUUUCUAAACUACCUUCUCCAUCGUCUUCGCUCAGUUCUCUUUCUACAUAUGUUCCUCCUUCACUCUCUCACAGUCCAUCUGUUUACCACAUGGAUGAUGAAGGGAAGCAUUUGCUCAUGAGUGGAACCCCAGUUGAAGCUGUUCCAGCUGCUUUACUGAUCACAGUCACCUUCGCAGUCAUGCUUGCUGUAUUUCUAGCGAUUUACUAUUUCAAAACGAACAGACCCUGCAGGACGCAGUGUGACAGCGAGCAGCAGAAGGAGUACACUGAGACGGAGGUUUGGGAGCACUGUAGUAAGAAAGACCUGCAGAAUCCACAGGAGGAGCAUGUGGAGGAGAACGAGGAAGAAAACAACAGCAGCAGUUCUACAGACCAGGACUAACACUUCUCUGUAUUUAUCGAGACAUCAUGGGACGGCUGAGAGUUUGAGACUGUAAUGAAUUUUUGGUUUUGUAAUGAACUAAUAAAUAAAAAAAGACACAGAUGUGUGUAUUUAUAUGUAAACUGGCUUCUGAUUGUGCAUUUUUGAUAAUUAUUUU
rnacentral:lncRNA from 1 species